AGCGAACGCUGGCGGCAGGCCUAACACAUGCAAGUCGAACGAAGUCUUCGGACUUAGUGGCGGACGGGUGAGUAACACGUGGGAACGUGCCUUUAGGUUCGGAAUAACUCAGGGAAACUUGUGCUAAUACCGAAUGUGCCCUUCGGGGGAAAGAUUUAUCGCCUUUAGAGCGGCCCGCGUCUGAUUAGCUAGUUGGUGGGGUAAUGGCCUACCAAGGCUACGAUCAGUAGCUGGUCUGAGAGGAUGACCAGCCACAUUGGGACUGAGAAACGGCCCAAACUCCUACGGGAGGCAGCAGUGGGGAAUCUUGCGCAAUGGGCGAAAGCCUGACGCAGCCAUGCCGCGUGGAUGAUGAAGGUCUUAGGAUUGUAAAAUCCUUUCACCGGUGAAGAUAAUGACUGUAGCCGGAGAAGAAGCCCCGGCUAACUUCGUGCCAGCCGCCGCGGUAAAAC
rnacentral:rRNA from 1 species